rnacentral:rRNA from 1 species
UGCGUAGGGUGCGAGCGUUAAUCGGAUUUACUGGGCGUAAAGCGUGCGCAGGCGGCCCGUUAAGACAGGUGUGAAAUCCCUGGGCUCAACCUAGGAAUUGCGCUUGUGACUGGCGGGCUCGAGUACGGUAGAGGGGGGUGGAAUUCCUGGUGUAGCAGUGAAAUGCGUAGAGAUCAGGAGGAACACCGAUGGCGAAGGCAGCCCCCUGGGCCUGUACUGACGCUCAUGCACGAAAGCGUGGGGAGCAAACAGG